rnacentral:rRNA from 1 species
UUUAAGGUCUAACCUGCCCAAUGAGGAUUUAAAUGGCCGCAGUAUUUUGACUGUGCAAAGGUAGCAUAAUUAUUAGUUUUUUAAUUGAAAGCUUGUAUGAAGGGUUGGACGAGAUAAAAUCUGUCUUUAUUUAAAUUAAAGUAUAAUUUAACUUUUAAGUCAAAAGGCUUAAAUGUUUAUAAAAGACGAGAAGACCCUAUAGAUCUUUAUUUGAUUAAGAUUUUAAUAAUUUAGGAUUAUUUUAAUUUGGAGUUUUAAUUAAAUUUUAUUGGGGUAAUAUAAAGAUUAAAUAAAUUCUUUUUAUUUAUAACAUUAAUUUAUGAAUAUAUGAUCCGUUAAUAUUGAUUAUAAGAUUAAGUUACCUUAGGGAUAACAGCGUAAUUUUUUUGGAGAGCUCAUAUCGAUAAGAAAGUUUGCGACCUCGAUGUUGGAUUAAAAAUUAGCUUGGGUGCAGAAGCUCAAGAUUUUGGUCUGUUCGACCAUUAAAUUUUUACAUGAUCUGAGUUCAGACCGGCGUAAGCCAGGUCGGUUUCUAUCUUUAUUUAGAUAAAAUAUUUUAGUACGAAAGGACCAAGUAUUUAAUAUAAUUAUAUUUAUUUUUUGAAGAAUAUU